GACGAACGCUGGCGGCGUGCUUAACACAUGCAAGUCGAACGAAGAGCGAUGGAAGCUUGCUUCUAUCAAUCUUAGUGGCGAACGGGUGAGUAACGCGUAAUCAACCUGCCCUUCAGAGGGGGACAACAGUCGGAAACGACUGCUAAUACCGCAUACGAUCUAAUCUCGGCAUCGAGGAUAGAUGAAAGGUGGCCUCUACAUGUAAGCUAUCACUGAAGGAGGGGAUUGCGUCUGAUUAGCUAGUUGGAGGGGUAACGGCCCACCAAGGCGAUGAUCAGUAGCCGGUCUGAGAGGAUGAACGGCCACAUUGGGACUGAGACACGGCCCAGACUCCUACGGGAGGCAGCAGUGGGGAAUCUUCCGCAAUGGACGAAAGUCUGACGGAGCAACGCCGCGUGAGCGAUGACGGCCUUCGGGUUGUAAAGCUCUGUUAAUCGGGACGAAAGGCCUUCUUGCGAAUAGUGAGAAGGAUUGACGGUACCGGAAUAGAAAGCCACGGCUAACUACGUG
rnacentral:rRNA from 1 species